AUUGGAGCUGGGGGCUGUGGUCUAUUCCGAGGCUCGCGUUGCUAUUGCCUGAGCCUCAAUUCUGCGAGGUUAAUUCUUUCAAAGACGCUAUUAGACCUCAUAGGUCUUUGUUCUGGCUCAUAUGCUGGUGGAAAGUUGUCCUUGUUAUACCGGGCCUCGAUGGGUUGACCUCCAGCAUAAUUGGAGGAAACAUCAACUUCUACCUCCCUUUCCCUGGGGCUUCUGCCUCGACUGUAUUCUGGUGAUACAACCCUUUGGCUCUGGACUUACUCAUCUUGGUCGUAGUACCCUUGGGGUGCA
rnacentral:lncRNA from 1 species